UUCUUUUGUCAUUAUAAACCUAUCAUUAUAAUAAAUAACCUGUCAUUAUAACCUAUAAAAAAAAGCAUUUCAGUUACGAUCUGGUAGAUUGAUCGCUCUAUUAUCUAAAAAAAAAAUUCAAGUCAUUUAGUCUAAUUCUAAAAAAGUUAUUGAGCUUCGAAAAGUGUCCGGAUAUUAAUGGAAAUCAUUGUAUUAUAUUUACAUACCGUAAGACGUGUUCGAUUUGACUCAACUUCAGACGAUUCCCGCGACCAUGAAAAGACUCUGCGUGUGACACUGAUCUUGUUGUUGUUUCUGGUACACGUUAUUGAAACUUAAAUCGUACGGCAAAAAGUAUUAUUACUUUCUGUUUUCUUUCUUUCCAACACAAAGGAUUCGUUCCGUUGGAAUAUUGCAAAUAAAUAGAUAAAUGCUUCCAUCUUCUAAACUCGUGUCUUUUGGCGGCAAAUUAGGAACGGAUACUCGGCCGACGAAGAAGCAUGGGGUAAGGAUAGGUGUGCUAGAGGGAAAAAGAGGGGGAAUGAGCGGUGGAUUUGCGCAUGUCGAUUUCUCGCAUCGCAAGGAGAGCGCUAAGGGGGAGAAGAGAGUAGUUUCGUUCAGGCUUUAUUGAAGCGAAGUUGUCGCACGUUGUACAGUGUUAGCUCGGAUUCGCGCGCUUAGUAAAAUACCUUCGACGAUUAACCUUUCAAGAACGACGCGAACAUUUCGCGGUUUUUUAUCGCGCGGCCGACAGCGUUUCGCGUCAGAUAUGAACGCGAAUGAAUAAUAUAUAAAAUAAUAUGAAGCUCUCUACAAGAAUUUCAUAGUAGCUAUAGUGGAAAUCGGAAAAAAAGUUCGACUUUGUACAGUACAGUUCAAAGACGUCGUCUUCGAAGGGUUAACUUCAACUUCGAUGUAAACGUACGCCCGGUUCUCGAAAUUUACAAGAGUCAUAUUUUCAAGCUGGAAAAUUCGCUUAUCAAACAACUCCGUUCUUUUAGUCGACUACGAAGUGUUUCCAUUCGAGAGGAGGCCGAAAGCAUUUUUCGCCGGCGGGAAACCCGGCGAAAGAAACACAUCGAUCGAUUGCGACCACGUGUUCGAUUCCCGGCCCGGAGUUCAGUAAUGGACAUCGACGAUUCCGAAGCAAUGAAUCUUCUCAGCCCCGAACAAACCGUCGACUUCGAUUAAAUUUCAUAUUCUCUUUUCGUUCGUUGAUCUGCCGUUAAGAGGACAGUCAUCAUACUUUCCAGGCCUACAGGCUUUGCCUGUCCUUUCCUACUACAAUUGGUUGGGUAAAGUAUGGCCAAGAUAUUUUAGACAUAUCUUGCACUUUAUUAUGGGAGGUUCAUGACCCAACAAGAGAAGACAAUAUAUAUUUAAAUUGGCUUCAUCGUCGCUGCUGACUUUGGAUUCCCCACGUUUUUUAUCAUCGCGACUUCCAUAGGAACUGUCUUGACACUAAAAACGGUGAAAAGAGGAGCAGACAAACCAUUUGGACCGGAACAUACCAACCGGACAGUUCUCGGACCGACCCGGUUCGAACAGAUUACACUGCUCAGCUCGAUCUUCUUUUGUAAUAUUCAACGAGCGAUCCUCGCAGGGAGCCGCCACCCAAACACGAAUCCGAAAGCGAAAUUGGUGUGCCAUCCACGGUUUUCGAAAAAUUCGGGUUUCUAUAAAGACUUCCAAUUUUUAACAAAAGUAAGAUAUUACGUGAAAACUGAGAACGUUAGGUAGGUCUAAUUGCUCUCGAAAGACAGAGCGUAGAUUUCAGAAUAUAUCAGAAUCGAUAUUUCGGAUAUUUUAUGCUUCUAGGUACUGUUGAACGACCGUUAAACAUUGUAAGAGUCGCAAACAACGGUAUUUUCUACGCGAUAUAUUUGCAUGUCCACGGAAAGUUCUUUAUCUACCAUUGAAACUGACUACUUCAUCCGAUUCUGUAGACAUUUCUGAAGAAGAAACUAUC